GACGAACGCUGGCGGCGUGCCUAAUACAUGCAAGUCGAACGAGAGCGACCGGUGCUUGCACCGGUCAAUCUAGUGGCGAACGGGUGAGUAACACGUGGGUAACCUGCUCAUCAGAGGGGGAUAACAUCCGGAAACGGAUGCUAAAACCGCAUAGGUCUUCGAGCCGCAUGGCUUGAAGAGGAAAAGAGGCGCAAGCUUCUGCUGAUGGAUGGACCCGCGGUGCAUUAGCUAGUUGGUGAGGUAACGGCUCACCAAGGCCGUGAUGCAUAGCCGACCUGAGAGGGUGAUCGGCCACAUUGGGACUGAGACACGGCCCAAACUCCUACGGGAGGCAGCAGUAGGGAAUCUUCCGCAAUGGACGCAAGUCUGACGGAGCAACGCCGCGUGAGUGAAGAAGGUUUUCGGAUCGUAAAACUCUGUUGUUAGAGAAGAACAAAUGCUAGAGUAACUGUUAGCGCCUUGACGGUAUCUAACCAGAAAGCCACGGCUAACUACGUG
rnacentral:rRNA from 1 species